rnacentral:rRNA from 1 species
CCCUUAGAUGUUCUGGGCCGCAUGCGCGCUACACUGAUGCAUUCAACGAGCCUAUCCUUGACCGACAGGUCCGGGUAAUCUUUGAAUCUGUAUCGUGACGGGGAUAGAUUAUUGCAAUUAUUAAUCUUCAACGAGGAAUGCCUAGUAGGCGCAAGUCAUCAGCUUGCGUCGAUUACGUCCCUGCCCUUUGUACACACCGCCCGUCGCUCCUACCGAUUGGGUGUGCUGGUGAAAUGUUCGGAUCGGCCGUUUGUCGCGGUUUCCGCGUCAUGUGGCUGAGAAGUUCAUUAAACCCUCCCACCUAGAGGAAGGAGAAGUCGUAACA